AAUGAACAAACCUUCUGUCAUUUUCUAUUAAACAAUAAUAUAAUUAUGUUUUUAACAUUAAUUGCGUCACUACAAUCAUGUGAAGAAUUUUUCUGUAUCGCGUGAUGGUGUGAUCUCUAAUUAAAAAUACUCAUAAAAAAUUAUUAGAUGAUAUGUUUUUUUCUUUUUUCAAGGCGCCUGCUAAAAAAGAAAUACCGAAAAGACGCUUUCUUCCCCUGCCACUAAAUUGAAUCUUUCAAAAAGCUAAAUGAUCUCUGUAACAAAGCCUAUUGCCUCUCUGUUGUACUUGUAUAUCAGCUUGGAACAUCACUGGAUUGUAACCAAAAUACAAUCGGUAUGCUUCCAUUAUGUCGAUCAAUACUGAAGAAUUGAGCGAAUUGAUUUAGAUUUCGUGAAAUUGCAACCAUCACUGUUCUCCUGAAUUUGCCUUUCAAUUAAUGAUAUAUUUAUUCUUCGAUUUUUUUUUGGUUUAAUUUCCAUAUAAACCAUAAUCUGUUGUGAAUCCUUUCAAAAUACUUGAAAACUCAAAUUCCUAUGUUGGAUUGCAUGUUCAUGAAUCGCACCAAUGGGUUUGACGGAAAGCGGGUUAUGUUGUUCUGGUCUCUAGGCUUUCAAAAGUGGAAAGAGUAUUUGUCACAAGCAAUGGUGAGGCUGUUGGGAGUGGCCGUUCAUCAGCCACGGAUGCCAGCAAAGACACGGCCCACACCACCACACCGUUUCUAGUGUGGUUGUGCCCAGCUUUGUGGUGUCGAUGUCCUUUCUUUCUGUCUUCUUUUUUCCAAUAUUAAUUUAUUUUGUUUUAUUUUUAUUUUUUAUUUUUGUAAAUACCAACCAAUCUUAUCAUUUUAAACCAAAAUAAUACUUCUAUUUUCUUUCAAAUCCACGUACAACGCUUUAUGCAAUGACCAAGUGGGAAGUUCUCAACAUACAAUAUAGAUACAUAUAAUCCAACGUAGAUAUCUAUAAAACAAUCUACCAAUACCCACGCAGUCCGACCGAUUCUUAUAAAUCCUAGUUCAACGAUCAUCUAGAAGAAUCACCUUCCAUGAUGAGUCGUUUGAGCAACUAACUAACUACACAGCUAGGGGAUUCCUUGGCCAAUGUAAGUCAUUUAAAGACAACCAAUGUUUAGAGUGUUCGAUAAAUAUUGUAUCCCGUUUUAUCUACGUCUAUAUGUUAUAAGUUCACACUAGCAACGUAAUUCACAAGACCGUCUAGAAUAAUCAAGUGUUGUCAUCCUACUCUGAUAGAUGACACAGACAUACCUAUCGGUUGUCAGAUUCAGAACAUCAUUUCUGAUUGUCUAGAAAAAUGAGGACUACUACACUCCGCCUUAAUCUCAUAAUUUACUCCAUAAUGAGACUAUUCAAUUAUUCAACUUAUUUCAAACUAAGCAUCCUUUAGAAGUCUUAGUUUAUAACUAUACGAGAUAUAUUAAAAGUAAUCGACUUCCAAUACAGUUUCCUGAUCAUGCAAUACAUAUCAUAAUAAGUUUGAUCAUGCAUACUAAGUGCUCAAUGAAAUGCUUGAACAAGAUUUUAUUACUAAUUUAUUUACCUGCACUUACAUAUGAAUAAGCUAAUACAAUAAUUUAAUCAGUAUACUUUUUUGAAUGGGUUUUAAUCUAAUUUUUAUAAAAAAUUUAUAAUUGUUGUAGUUUUGCUCGACUUUGCUCAGGUAUAUGUAACCAAUGGCACUUGGAACACCAUAUUUUUCUAUCAGUUUUAUUGUUAAAACUAAGGCUAAUGGCCAAACAAACAAGUUAUUUUAUUUAUCUUCCAUGUUUUCAUAUUCAAUUUCUAGAGUUUAGUGAUUUUGCAGUUCUUAACAUGUACUGUUAUCAGACCUUUGCUUCUGUUAACUUGCAUCUAUUAUUUGAUGGUAUUUUAUGUGUGUUCAACUGUAUAAACAAACUUCAUGAAAUUUGGUAAGGCCUUUGUCUAAAUAAAUAGAUGUUGUAAUUUAUUUAUUUAUAUACAAGUUUAGAUUUUUAAUCGUGAUAAUAACUUUUAAUUUGGGUGAUUGUGUUAGGAUUGAAACCAAAACCACCCGACACCUGUUGUUGAUACAGAUGCCAAAAGUAAACCAGGACGUGAUGUACAUGAACAUGAAGCAUUGAAUCCAAAUGAUUAUACAUUUAAGCCAGGGUGUAAAGAUGUAUUUCGGAUGAAUUAAAAUGAGCUUGAGUCAGAAAUAAGAAAAGGUUAUAGGGAUCCAACUCUUGAUCCCAGAAGAAAGGAUUAUCUCAUUUAGAACCUUAUGGUCAGGUAUAUCUUCCUCAGGCCAGCUAACCCAAAUCCAUAUGCACAGAAGUUGUUGUAGAUGCAGGGAUAGAUUUGUUGAAUAAGGGUACUGAUGCAAUUGAUGUUAGUUAAUCUGUUAAAGUUUUCUUGGUGAGUUUCAUGUAAAAUGUACAACACCAAAAUUAGGUAUAUUUUCAAAGCACUCACCAAUUCAUGCAAACAUUCGUGCAUUUUAUUGUGCUGCUUUAUAAUGCAAAAAUAAUACACGAUUAUAUGCUAUUAUUAGAAAUUGGAUAUAUUCAAAAAGAGGGUACAAAAAGAGAACACCUCAUAUAUUACACAAAAGUUACACACAUUCUCAAAUGUAACCACAUACAGAGCAUUAGGAUUAGAAGCUUUUAAUUACCCGUACAAUUACUAAAAUCAUACACGAUUAUAUGCCAUUAUUUUUGCAAUUUUCAUGCUUUAAUUGUUAUUUAAUGAGAUUCUACACAUAAAAAUAGACAUUGACAUGUAAAAGGAAUCAUAUCUCAUAAUUCAUGAAAUAUUUAUGUGAUGUCCAUCACUUGAACUUAUUGUGAGACAAUGAUUUCUUUAGUUUGUGAGCUUCAGUUGGCAACUUAACAGCGGUAGCCAAUCCUAUUGCUUCAAGAAACCUUAUCAUGUACCAACAAAAGUCAAUUUGCCACCAUUCUAGCCCAUGUCUUGCUGAAUAUUCAAAUGCAUGAUGAUUAUUAUGCCAUCCU